UCAAAGUGUGCCCGAAGCCUGUGGGAAGCCUGCUGGGAAGUCACCUGCUAAACGGCCCCUGGGCAGUAACCUCAGCCAAAGGACUUCCACUGGCCUCGCUAGAGAGUUAAGAUGGUGACUGACAAGCUUCAGACUGUAAUUAAGUCCUGGUUAAUUGAAAAUAUUGCAGCAGAAAUUCUCCAAGGGAGCUGCAGGGUGGAGGAAGAAGAGGACAAAGCCCACUAGAGUGGUUGAAGGCCAGCAACUGCCGGUGUUCAGCGUCCUUUUUUGGUAAACUACACUUUCUUUGCUAUGGGAAAGUGGACAGAAGGGUCAGUGCUCCUGGACUUAGCCUAAUUUGAGACUUGGUCUUAACCUGGGCCCACUUCUCCCAAGUACUUGUGCCAAGGUUUUCUGCUAGGCCUCAUCCCACACUUGGGAGAGUGCGGCCAACAAGCGUGACGGAGUUCAGCCUGCGCCUCUGCAAACGGGGACCCCGCUGCCUUUGUCGGCAUAGUUCUCCUCCCAUACACACGAGUGUCCUGCGCAGCUCCUUUCCGGCCAGCUCACUCUCAGGAGCUCAGCCUCCACAUGGAGGGACCUGCAGAUGGGAAGGAGAACCCUGCCAGGUCCACGGGGCUGUGAUGGUGAGUUUCCUUUCAUUUUGGUUGGACAAUUUCCUCACUGUGGUCAGCAGGCAGGCAAGAAGAACGUGGAACAACCUGUACAGUAACUCUCAUCCUUGUUCUUUUGAGGACCAAAAGCCAC
rnacentral:lncRNA from 1 species